rnacentral:lncRNA from 1 species
GGAUUGGAUGGGCUUAGUGUUACUGGAUCCAGGCUAUCAUUUUCUUUGAAAUUUACAUUUUCAUAUCUCAUCACCUGUCUUAAAAUGAAUGCCACAACAUCUGUUGAUUCCCAGUAGCUGGCAUGGAAAAGAUGUGGCAGAGCCACAGUUGGAAAUGCUGUCAGGACAUCUGGACAAUACAAGGCAUAAUCAAUCCGCUUUG